AUGGCCUUCAGCCACACUUUCUUCUUGAGAGCUUCACAAGUCGACUACGCAACCACCAGUUGCUUUUUGGAGCACCAAGAAAUAGGACUUUCAAGAUACAAACAAAAAUAUCUAGAAGUGUUUAUUCUGUCAACUCUCAGAGUCCCUUCAAUAUCUUGCAGCUUGUCAAACUCUGCAAAUCUCCUUGGUAUUUUUAUGAUUUUUUGUGGCCUCUGGACUUGUUCAGAAUCUCCUUCUGAUUCUGAAACUGUAUCUCCUUCUAUACUUUCUUUAGAAGAUUGA